rnacentral:rRNA from 1 species
CAGCAGCCGCGGUAAUACGAGGGGUGCAAGCGUUAUUCGGAUUGAUUGGGUGUAAAGGGUGUGCAGACGGCUUAUUAAGUCACUUGUUAAAUUCUUCGGCUUAACCUGGGAACUGCGCUUAUGACUGCACAGCUAGAGUAUGGCAGAGGGGGGUGGAAUUCCACGUGUAGCAGUGAAAUGCGUAGAGAUGUGGAGGAACACCGAUGGCGAAGGCAGCCCCCUGGGCCAAUACCGACGCUCAUGCACGAAAGCGUGGGGAGCAAACAGGAUUAGAUACCCGGGUAGUCCCUGUCUCUUAUAC